CAGCCGCCACGGUAAUACGAAGGGGGCUAGCGUUGCUCGGAAUUACUGGGCGUAAAGGGAGCGUAGGCGGAUCGUUAAGUUGGGGGUGAAAGCCCGGGGCUCAACCUCGGAAUUGCCUUCAAUACUGGCGAUCUUGAGUAUGGAAGAGGUAUGUGGAACUCCGAGUGUAGAGGUGAAAUUCGUAGAUAUUCGGAAGAACACCAGUGGCGAAGGCGACAUACUGGUCCAUUACUGACGCUGAGGCUCGAAAGCGUGGGGAGCAAACAGGAUUAGAGACCCCUGUAGUCCCUGUCUCUUAUAC
rnacentral:rRNA from 1 species